rnacentral:rRNA from 1 species
UACGUAGGGUGCAAGCGUUAAUCGGAAUUACUGGGCGUAAAGCGUGCGCAGGCGGUCAUGCAAGACAGAUGUGAAAUCCCCGGGCUCAACCUGGGAACUGCAUUGUGACUGCAUGGCUGGAGUGCGGCAGAGGGGGAUGGAAUUCCGCGUGUAGCAGUGAAAUGCGUAGAUAUGCGGAGGAACACCGAUGGCGAAGGCAAUCCCCUGGGCCUGCACUGACGCUCAUGCACGAAAGCGUGGGGAGCAAACAGG